rnacentral:tRNA from 1 species
UCCAGGGUAGCUCAGCGGUAGAGCAGUGCGCUGUUAACGCAUUGGUCGCGAGUUCGAAUCUCGCCCCUGGAGCCA